GUGAUACCCGGUGUAGUGGCAAUUAUUUGUUGGAGACGCAAAGGAGGAAGAUGUGGAGAGAACAUGAUUACUGAAGGACAUCCGGACUGUAAGAGAAAGCGGAAGGAUCAGACUGAACCUGAUGUUACUUACGCAACUGUAACCCAUGUGAACACAGCCGGAGCAGCACGGGUCCAGAUCAACGCUGCAGACAACACUGAAUAUGCCAGCAUUAUAACAAGAUAAUCCACAGUAAAUAUACAUAGAUACACUCUCAGAUAUUAUAUAAUAAUGAUGAAAACAUAUAUUAAACACACACCAUGGUAAGCAUGUUUUUCCACAAAUUGUUGUUUUUCAUGUUUUUGUUUGUUUGUUUAUUUUUUCAAUUAAAUAGCAGAUUCAGAUAUAUGCAUGUAUGGGGGAAAGGGGUGGGGUUUCCAGAGUAUUGCAUUACAUUUAUUUAUGUUAGCUAAGGGUAUUGUUCCUCAUUUACUUUGUGUGUUAA
ensembl:lncRNA